rnacentral:snRNA from 1 species
AGUUGACUCUGGCAGUGACAUGUCAUCCCAUUGAUUGCUAGGAUUAAUUUGACUGAUCUGGCUGGCUAGGCAGUGUUCCUUCUUCCCUUAAAGUUCCAUGCAUGUUCUUUCUGAAGGUGCAUGCUCAGUCUAACAGGACAACCUUCCCUGAAAAGAGGAGGACUGGUCUUCAUUUAAGAAAUAAA